UGGGGAAUUUUGGACAAUGGGCGAAAGCCUGAUCCAGCAAUGCCGCGUGUGUGAAGAAGGCCUUCGGGUUGUAAAGCACUUUUGUCCGGAAAGAAAUCCUUGGCUCUAAUACAGUCGGGGGAUGACGGUACCGGAAGAAUAAGCACCGGCUAACUACGUGCCAGCAGCCGCGGUAAUACGUAGGGUGCAAGCGUUAAUCGGAAUUACUGGGCGUAAAGCGUGCGCAGGCGGUUUGCUAAGACCGAUGUGAAAUCCCCGGGCUCAACCUGGGAACUGCAUUGGUGACUGGCAGGCUAGAGUAUGGCAGAGGGGGUAGAAUUCCACGUGUAGCAGUGAAAUGCGUAGAGAUGUGGAGGAAUACCGAUGGCGAAGGCAGCCCCCUGGGCCAAUACUGACGCUCAUGCACGAAAGCGUGGGGAGCAAACAGGAUUAGAUACCCUGGUAGCCCACGCCCUAAACGAUGUCAACUAGUUGUUGGGGAUUCAUUCCUUAGUAACGUAGCUAACGCGUGAAGUUGACCGCCUGGGGAGUACGGUCGCAAGAUUAAAACUUAAAUGAAUUGACGGGGUCAUAGCUG
rnacentral:rRNA from 1 species